AUGUUAGGAUCGGCUGGAUCAUCCUCAUCAUCCGAAAAGAAAACAGAGACAAAACAGAUUUGUUUCAAUGACAUAUCUAAUCAGACUGAAAUUGAUGUCGAAGACACGAUCAUUCACAUCAAUUGAAGCAGGCAGGAAGGGCGCGGAAGCUACCGUUUAACGAAUGCAAUGCAAGCAAGGUAG
rnacentral:rRNA from 1 species